UUCCGGUUGAUCCUGCCGGAAGCCAUUGCUAUCGGAGUCCGAUUUAGCCAUGCUAGUCGUGCGAGUUCAGACUCGCGGCACCGAGCUCAGUAACACGUGGCCAAACUACCCUACAGAGACGGAUACCCUCGGGAAACUGAGGUUAACCCGUCAUACCGAUCUCAGGCUUGAAUCGCAGAGAUCACAAAAUGCCCCAGCGCUGUAGGAUGUGGCUGCGGUUGAUUAGGUAGACGGUGGGGUAACGGCCCACCGUGCCCAUAAUCAGUACAGGUUGUGAGAGCAAGAACCUGGAGACGGAAUCUGAGACAAGAUUCCGGGCCCUACGGGGCGCAGCAGGCGCGAAACCUUUACACUGCACGCACGUGCGAUAAGGGGACUCCGAGUGCGAGGGCAUAUUGUCCUCGCUUUCGUGUACCGUAGGGUGGUACACCAACAAGGGCUGGGCAAGACCGGUGCCAGCCGCCGCGGUAAUACCGGCAGCCCGAGUGAUGGCCGAUCUUAUUGGGCCUAAAGCGUCCGUAGCUGGCUACGCAAGUCCGUCGGGAAAUCCACUCGCCCAACGAGUGGGCGUCCGACGGAAACUGCAUAGCUUGGGACCGGAAGGCUCGAAGGGUACGUUCGGGGUAGGAGUGAAAUCCCAUAAUCCCGCACGGACCACCGAUGGCGAAAGCACUUCGAGAAAACGGAUCCGACAGUGAGGGACGAAAGCCAGGGUCUCCAACCGGAUUAGAUACCCGGGUAGUCCUGGCCGUAAACAAUGUUCGCUAGGUAUGACACAGACUACGCGUCUCUGUUGUGCCGUAGGGAAGCCGAGAAGCGAACCGCCUGGGAAGUACGUCUGCAAGGAUGAAACUUAAAGGAAUUGGCGGGGGAGCACUACAACCGGAGGAGCCUGCGGUUUAAUUGGAUU
rnacentral:rRNA from 1 species